CUCAUGGGGAGGAGGAGAAGGGAACCAGCCAGGUGACAGGACACUCAGGUUACCACCACAACUCCUCCCUCAACCCCUCCUUUCUGUAAUGUAUGCAUGAUGUUUCUGGGGGUGGGCUUGACCUAGAGGAUGGGAAUUUCAAAAGUUUUUAUAAGGUCUUGCACACCAUUUUCUGUGUCUUUCCUCUCUCCUGCAAGUGAGGGGAACACCCUGUUGCAACAGUUCAAUAAAGGCCAAGCCUACAGGCUGCUGUUUUGCUCCAAGUUAUCCUGGUUGGUGUCUUUGUUUUGUCCAAGGGAGCCCUCAGAUUUUUCCGGUAACAAUGACAGAGGCCAUCAAACCUCUACUUAAAAACCUCCAAGGAAGGGGAGUCCACCAUCUCCCAAGGGAGACUGUUCCACUGUUGAACAGCUCUCACCACCAGAAAGUUCUUCCGUAUGUUGAGUCGGAAUCUCCUUUCUUGUACCUUGAAGCCACUGGUUCUUAAGUCCUGCCCUCCAGAACAGGAGAAAACAAGCUUGCUCCCUCUUCCAUGGGGCAGCCCUAACUGUGUUUCAAUCAGGAGUAAUUGCCUCCUGAAUUUUGACACCAGGGGAACUCUGCCAGCGGGGGAAAGCGGCAAGUCUGGGUGUGAAAACACAGGGAAGACACCUGCCUGAUAUCAAUAGGGAGGGAGUUCCAAAGUGCUGCCAGAAAAUCAAGUUCUUCCAAAUGUGCCCGGGGCCAUUUUGCUCUUUGCAGGCUCCCCUCUGCCCCAUUCUUCCCAGGCACAAAGCAAGCUGGCAGCCGCUUGCUAUGUGUGCUCCGAGCCCAAAGGAAUGCUGGAUGCCCUGAACCGGUUUUCUGGGUGAAAGGUGACAGAAAGCCUCAGGGCUCUGGCUGCCUUUGGGGUCCCGCCUCAUCCCUCAGGUUCUUUCUCUGCCCUUGCUCAGGUCAGCCCAGAGAAUGCAGAGGGUUGUUGUCUUGCCAGUUGGAAAUCUGAGGAACCAGGAGGCCUCGCCAGUGGCUAUGUUUACAAAUGCGCAGGACCUUAAGCGCUUUGUACCAAGACCAACAUUUUGUGCGAUUCCUGGCUGCGGCAAGCAAGGUGUUCCCAGCCACAGAUUAUUCAGCCAUUGUGAUCAAAUGCAAGGACCUAAGGGCAUAAGAGGACAUGGGUGGCGCUGUGGUCUAAACUACGGAGCCUCUUGGGCUUGCCGAUCAGAAGGCUGGUUCGAAUCCCUGCGACGGGGUGAGCUCCCGUUGCUCGGUCCCAGCUCCUGCCAACCUAGCAGUUUGAAAGCACAUCAAAGUACAAGUAGAUAAAUAGGUACCACUCUGGCAGGAAGGUAAAUGGUAUUUCUGUGCACUGCUCUGGUUUCGUUAUGCUGGCCACAUGACCUGGAAAAACUGUCUGCGGACAAGGGCCAGCUCCCUCGGCCAAUAAAGCGAGAUGAGCGCCGCAACCCCAGAGUCAUUCGCGACAGGACUUAACUGUCAGGGGUCCUUUACCUUUACCUUUUUAAGGGCAUAAGAAGAGCCUGCCGGAUUCAGCCCAAGGGGACCAAUCUAGUCACAGUGGUCAGCCAGAUGCCCACCAGCAAGACCCAAGUACGACCCCACCCCCACCAACGCUCUCCCCACCUGUGAUUCCGGGUGAUUGGCAUGAUUCAGAGGUGAGAUUAUCCAGAUGGUGGAGGGACGGCCUAGCCAUUGUGGCCAGUAUUAUUGAUUAUUAUUUAUCUUUUGUGUACCUA